rnacentral:rRNA from 1 species
UACGUAGGGGGCAAGCGUUGUUCGGAAUUACUGGGCGUAAAGGGCGCGUAGGCGGUACGACAAGUUGGGAGUGAAAGCCCGGGGCUCAACCCCGGGACUGCUUUCGAAACUGUCGAACUUGAGUGCAGAAGAGGCAACUGGAAUUCCCAGUGUAGCGGUGAAAUGCGUAGAUAUUGGGAAGAACACCUGCGGCGAAGGCGGGUUGCUGGGCUGACACUGACGCUGAGGCGCGAAAGCUAGGGGAGCGAACGGG